rnacentral:rRNA from 1 species
GACGAACGCUGGCGGCGUGCCUAAUACAUGCAAGUAGAACGCUGAAGAGAGGAGCUUGCUCUUCUUGGAUGAGUUGCGAACGGGUGAGUAACGCGUAGGUAACCUGCCUUGUAGCGGGGGAUAACUAUUGGAAACGAUAGCUAAUACCGCAUAACAAUGGACGACUCAUGUCAUUUAUUUGAAAGGGGCAGUUGCUCCACUACAAGAUGGACCUGCGUUGUAUUAGCUAGUAGGUGAGGUAACGGCUCACCUAGGCGACGAUACAUAGCCGACCUGAGAGGGUGAUCGGCCACACUGGGACUGAGACACGGCCCAGACUCCUACGGGAGGCAGCAGUAGGGAAUCUUCGGCAAUGGGGGCAACCCUGACCGAGCAACGCCGCGUGAGUGAAGAAGGUUUUCGGAUCGUAAAGCUCUGUUGUAAGUCAAGAAUGAGUGUGAGAGUGGAAAGUUCACACUGUGACGGUAGCUUACCAGAAAGGGACGGCUAACUACGUGCCAGCAGCCGCGGUAAUACGUAGGUCCCGAGCGUUGUCCGGAUUUAUUGGGCGUAAAGCGAGCGCAGGCGGUUUGAUGAGUCUGAAGUUAAAGGCUGUGGCUCAACCAUAGUUCGCUUUGGAAACUGUCAAACUUGAGUGCAGAAGGGGAGAGUGGAAUUCCAUGUGUAGCGGUGAAAUGCGUAGAUAUAUGGAGGAACACCGGUGGCGAAAGCGGCUCUCUGGUCUGUAACUGACGCUGAGGCUCGAAAGCGUGGGGAGCGAACAGGAUUAGAUACCCUGGUAGUCCACGCCGUAAACGAUGAGUGCUAGGUGUUGGAUCCUUUCCGGGAUUCAGUGCCGCAGCUAACGCAUUAAGCACUCCGCCUGGGGAGUACGACCGCAAGGUUGAAACUCAAAGGAAUUGACGGGGGCCCGCACAAGCGGUGGAGCAUGUGGUUUAAUUCGAAGCAACGCGAAGAACCUUACCAGGUCUUGACAUCCCGAUGCUAUUUCUAGAGAUAGAAAGUUACUUCGGUACAUCGGUGACAGGUGGUGCAUGGUUGUCGUCAGCUCGUGUCGUGAGAUGUUGGGUUGAGUCCCGCAACGAGCGCAACCCCUAUUGUUAGUUGCCAUCAUUCAGUUGGGCACUCUAGCGAGACUGCCGGUAAUAAACCGGAGGAAGGUGGGGAUGACGUCAAAUCAUCAUGCCCCUUAUGACCUGGGCUACACACGUGCUACAAUGGUUGGUACAACGAGUUGCGAGUCGGUGACGGCAAGCUAAUCUCUUAAAGCCAAUCUCAGUUCGGAUUGUAGGCUGCAACUCGCCUACAUGAAGUCGGAAUCGCUAGUAAUCGCGGAUCAGCACGCCGCGGUGAAUACGUUCCCGGGCCUUGUACACACCGCCCGUCACACCACGAGAGUUUGUAACACCCGAAGUCGGUGAGGUAACCUUUUGGAGCCAGCCGCCUAAGGUGGGAUAGAUGAUUGGGGUGGAGUCGUAACAAGGUAGCCGUAUCGGAAGG